AUUGAACGCUGGCGGCAUGCCUUACACAUGCAAGUCGAACGGUAACGGGCCUUCGGGUGCCGACGAGUGGCGAACGGGUGAGUAAUGCAUCGGAACGUACCUUUCAGUGGGGGAUAACGUAGCGAAAGUUACGCUAAUACCGCAUAUUCUGUGAGCAGGAAAGCAGGGGAUCGCAAGACCUUGCGCUGAUUGAGCGGCCGAUGUCAGAUUAGCUAGUUGGCGAGGUAAAGGCUCACCAAGGCGACGAUCUGUAGCGGGUCUGAGAGGAUGAUCCGCCACACUGGAACUGAGACACGGUCCAGACUCCUACGGGAGGCAGCAGUGGGGAAUUUUGGACAAUGGGGGCAACCCUGAUCCAGCCAUGCCGCGUGAGUGAAGAAGGCC
rnacentral:rRNA from 1 species